GGGGCCUUAGCUCAGUUGGUAGAGCACCGGCUUUGCAAGCCGGGUGUCAGGGGUUCGAAUCCCCUAGGCUCCACC
rnacentral:tRNA from 1 species